CUUUUUUGUUUUAAAACAAGUAAAACCUGGUUAUUAAGUCUGCCUCAGUGAUUAAACCUUGCAUUUGUGCUCUCAUUUUCACAGUCAGAAGAGACAGUCUUUUGUUAUGAAUAAAAUCAGAAGCUUAAUUUUUACUGUUGUAAACAGCUGCUCAGUAUACAAAUGGAAAGUGGUACUUAUCGCUAAAGCCAUCUGAAUGGUUCUUUUAGAGAAUUCUAGGGAGAUCCUGCCACCAUCACUUGCACACAGAACUGGAAAUAUAAAUGAAAAGACCACAAAGUUAGAAAUUAAUCAAUGUGUAUACAGUUGUAAAAGACCAUGUUUCUCUGAAUUCUAACAAUGUUUAAAAGAAACCUAACAUACACCUUAAAAUAAAUGGCUUUUACCACAUUUGCUGGGAUGUAGCUUUCGAAGAGUUGACAAGUCUGUUGAGAAAGAAGAUGAGAAGCUACAUCCAAAGCUUAGGUCAGGGUAAGCCACUCUUAACCUUUUUUAACCUAAGGCUCUUCUCUGCCAAAUAGUGAUUAUACUGCAUGGUAUUACCAAAGGGAAUAAUUUAGGCCAAGUACAUAGCAGAUAUACAGUUAAUGUAAUGGAUUAAGUCUCAGUGUAUGGGUGUAAUUCUUGUUUUACAAAUGCUACAGCUGUUACUGUAUGACAGGGAUUGUUAUUUUGGGGGGUACUUCUGGCUUGUCUAACACAGGGAAAUGUUCACUGGGGAGGAAAGUAGCGUCUAGAGCGUAAUGGGAUGAGCAUAGGAGAUGGUGUCUGCCAGGUUAGAAGGUCACAUAUGGUCGUUGUUGACACGAUGCCUUCAGUUCAAAGAUCAGCUGGGGGCUCAGAAGCAAAGUAGCCAGAAAGGAGGUGAAUUCUUUGAACACCUGGUAUGGGUAAGAGGUUUCAUGUUUUAUUUUUUCAUGUAGCCUUUACACAACCUGAGAUUAGUAUUACUGUCAUUUCUAAGCUGGGAUUCAAAACACGUUUUUUCACCUCAAAAUUCUUGCCAGUACAUACAUAAUUUUUGCCAAUUAAUGAUUAUGGUUAUCUUAUAAUAUUACAUAAUAGUAUUUAUUAUAUAAUGUUCUCAGAUUGGAUGCAGAGGAUCAGAUUUGUUAGUUUGGUUUUAUUUAAAUUUUUUCCCAUGUCAACUCUGCUACAAAGGAAUCCACUAUAAUGAACUGUGUCCAUCCUGCACUAACUUGGGACUUUCACCAUGCCUUCCUUCUAUGUGCUAUAGUAAGGCUGAAGUCUAAGUUUCUCAAUAUAACUCACUUGCCUUUGGGCCUUUGUAUAAGGAGCCCCCCCCCCAAAUAUCCUGUGACACUUUACCAUUAAGCUCGGAUAUCAAUUACAAAAAGCUUUUCUAGACUCUCUCCCAGGCCCCUUCCACUAAGGUACAGGGAUAGGUCCCUUGAUAGGGGCUUGCAUUGCACCUUCUACUUCCUCCCUAACGAUUAUCACUGUGUUGUAAUUCCUGAAUUGUUUUCCCACUCCCAGAUUAAAUUUGCAAGAAUCUGGAGAUUUGUCUGUCUAAUUAAUUAUUGUAUCCCUGUGCCUGGUGUGUCAAAAGAGUUUAAUAAAUAUUUCUUGAUGGAAUGCUGAGUGAAUAAUUGGAUUAUGAAUAAAAAACAGGAAAUGAAACUUAGAAGAGGGGUGGAGACUGCUUCAUUGGCUAUUCUUUACCUGAAGGUUCUUCCCAGAAUAAAAGUUUGGAGGUUUUUUUGUAAUUACUUUUUACAGUGUCAUCUCCAUUAACUG
rnacentral:lncRNA from 1 species